GCGCUUUAGAAAGCACAAGAUCAAGGACCCAGGUGCUUAAGCAUGAAUUAGGAGUUUGUACUGAGACCUGAAGUCUGGAUCCAUUGUAGGACUCUAAUUCAGGAGAGUGAAGAAUGUGCUCCUGCCCUUGGUGACUUUUUAAGCAAAACUUCACAAGGCAGAUCAGUAGGUAUAUACAGAAGGAAGUCCUCCUUCCCCUCCCUGCAAAUCGACCCACAGAAAAGAGGCAAGUCAUUACACAGAUGUGUAAAUACGCUUCACUAACAUCCCACAUAAGUGCUUCAAUUU
rnacentral:lncRNA from 1 species